ACAUGACAGGGAGUUCAUCUAUAUCCACCUGGGGAGGUCAUGAAAAGACUCAAGAGCAGUGAUUUGUAAACCAGGGAUCAGUGUACCCACAGGAGUUCAUUCAAUGGCUAUGUUGUGGAUGGACCUUUCUGCCUGAUGCAGAGGCCAGAGAUAUUAGCUGUUCUUGCCACAAGAUAAGACGUGUAGGAGAAACCUGGAGGUAUACGGUUGGAGACUGAUAACAGGUUACUCUGAAAAGUACCAUUCGUGGCCAGUUUGUACUUACUUGACUGCCUGGCUAACUGAGGCCUAGGAUGAUUCAACCAGGGUGUUGAGAACAGGAGAUGUGGCUGCCUGGGAUAGCUUGUAAAUCCUUUCAUGCUUGGCCUUUUCAAUGGGACUUUUGCUGCUCUUCCCAUCAAGGGGUGGGUAUGUUUCUCCAUUAUCUGAAUCUGGGCGUGGCCAUAUAACUAGCUCUGGCAAGUGGGUCAUUAGCAAAUGUGAUGCAAGCAGAAGCUUGAAAAUCGCUUGCACGUUGCAGUUUACAUCUGUUGCUGUUCUCUGGGAACUCUUCCAUCACCGUGUGAACAAGCCCAGGCUAGCCUUCUGGAGGAUGAGAGACCUAAUGGAUGGAGGUUCUGCCCCAGACAUUCCUAAAUCAAUCGGCCUCAGCAAAGCUGAUCUAGCAAUGAGGGAGGAAAAUCACUUGCAAGGACAAGAGGAAAACAAAAGCGCAAAGAUUAAUAUUUCAAGAUAUUAUCUUGCCACAUCAAAACAGUAGAAAACAUGACUCUUGCCUCCAAGCUGCCUAUAUAACUGGAAAAACAUGAAAAAUGGGGAAACUCAUGAAAAGUUAAUAACCAUAAAGAGGAGAGUAACAAUAUUAAACAGAAAUGACAGAGGUGUCACUCGAUCUACAUGAUGAACCCUCGAGGGCUUAUAGACCCUAAGAAUGACUUUUCACAGAAGGGUUUGCCCUGUGAAUUAAUAAAAAGACCUCUGUCAAAUACAAGAAGUCACUGGCAUACAGAUGCAAUUUAAAUCCGUUAUUUGAAACUGAGACGGCCCAGAGCUGCCCUCCUCAUUCCAGCAGCCAGGGCCGCAGGGAAGGAGAUCCAGCUGGAAGGGCAAGACUGACAUAUCCUCUUUUCUUGAAGGUCUGGGAGACAUUAUACUCUCAGGUGAGGACCACUGGACUGUAACAGAACUUUCCAGAAUAUACUGGGGCCCUGUGCUCUAUUUUCAACACAUGCCACAUUUCAGGUCUCUAGAAGGUAUCUGAGGUCCCUCCCACAACAAAUAAAGGAUCACAGCUCA